AGCAAGGACAGGGACAGGCAGGACUCUGUCACUGCUCUGGAUGUGCCCUGCCACACCUCCAGGAGCAUCCUGCCCAGACAUCUCAUGGCCAGCAGAGAGGGAAGGGCAGGGUUUUGGUGUUCUACCGACCUGCUUGAAAUGCUUACUUCAGGGAUGAAUUGAAUUAUUCUCAGAAUUGCCUUUCCUUUCCUUUUGCCAUCCAAAAAAGCAGAAGGUGAUGAUCUCGGAUGUGGAGCUGUAAGUCAGGGGGGAUAGAUACUGCUGGAAAUUUGUCAUUCAUUUUACCCAGUAUUUUCCUAGUGUGCUUCUCUGGUUCUACUUUAUUUUAAGGAUGAAUUUUCUAGGGAUGGAUCUCCUCCAGUGUUUCCAUGCAAGCAGACGGUAGAAAGGGAAGAUGUAGAGAGACAGCUUUGCACAUGCCUGUUCAAGGAAUCAAUGCUGGAGUGAAGCAAGGCACGCUGGUGCAGAGUAAAUAGCAGAGAUCGCCCUGAAAUCGCUGGAGUCGAGCAGCUGGAUUUAAAGGGGGACAAAGGUGGUGUGUUUCCCUGCAGCUGCGCUGCUGCUGCUGCUGUGUUGCACACACAUCACUUCUGCUGCACGUGAGGAAUCUGCCUUCAUUUCUCACUGAGGAGUCUGAAGAAUUGAGUGCCCAAAGAAUUUGCAAGAGAACAUACAUCCCUCUGAAGUAGCUGCACUCUGACUCCUGGGUCAUGGCAGGACUCUGGCUCUGGGUCAGCUCUUCCUGCACAAAUUGGGCCCUCUGCAAUUUCCUCACAGAAGCUGCUGCUUUCCACAGAACCAGGUGCUGUGUCCUGGGAGGAAGGGAACGCAGGAUCCAAGCCCAGGCACUGGUCAUCCCCUGUCACCCUGCAGGAGUGACCAGAGCAGGACAGUGCAGAGCAGGGAGCCACAGGGCUGUGGCUGUGGGAACAGUUUGCAGUGAAUGUGCCCUGGGUUUGCCAGCAGAGUGCUCCUGCAUUAGCACCACAGCAGCAGGUGCUUUUAACUGUCUGCUUUCCCUCUGGAGUGGUGAAACUGCUCCAUGCAGCAGAGAUGCAUCCAAUUAAUCGGAUGGAUAAAAGUGGUUAAUGCACCUUGGAGAAGCAUAAUUUAAUUGGAAAUGAUUAUUAUGUUCUGUUCCUAUGUAAAGAGUGUGAGAAUCAGCACUAAUGGGUCUGUAUGAACAUGACUUUUAAUUGCUCUGAG